AUGAACGCUGGCGGCGUGCCUAAUACAUGCAAGUCGAGCGAACAGACGAGGAGCUUGCUCCUCUGACGUUAGCGGCGGACGGGUGAGUAACACGUGGAUAACCUACCUAUAAGACUGGGAUAACUUCGGGAAACCGGAGCUAAUACCGGAUAAUAUAUUGAACCGCAUGGUUCAAUAGUGAAAGACGGUUUUGCUGUCACUUAUAGAUGGAUCCGCGCCGCAUUAGCUAGUUGGUAAGGUAACGGCUUACCAAGGCAACGAUGCGUAGCCGACCUGAGAGGGUGAUCGGCCACACUGGAACUGAGACACGGUCCAGACUCCUACGGGAGGCAGCAGUAGGGAAUCUUCCGCAAUGGGCGAAAGCCUGACGGAGCAACGCCGCGUGAGUGAUGAAGGUCUUCGGAUCGUAAAACUCUGUUAUUAGGGAAGAACAAAUGUGUAAGUAACUAUGCACGUCUUGACGGUACCUAAUCAGAAAGCCACGGCUAACAACGUG
rnacentral:rRNA from 1 species